UACAGAGGGUGCGAGCGUUAAUCGGAAUUAUUGGGCGUAAAGGGCGCGUAGGUGGCUCUAUAAGUUGGAUGUGAAAUCCCAUGGCUUAACCAUGGAAUUGCAUCCGAUACUGUGGAGCUAGAGUAUGGUAGAGGGAAGUGGAAUUUCCGGAGUAGCGGUGAAAUGCGUAGAUACCGGAAGGAACACCAGUGGCGAAGGCGGCUUCCUGGACCAAUACUGACACUGAGGCGCGAAAGCGUGGGGAGCAAACAGGAUUAGAAACCCCGGUAGUCC
rnacentral:rRNA from 1 species